UACGUAGGGGGCAAGCGUUGUCCGGAAUCAUUGGGCGUAAAGAGCGCGUAGGCGGCCCAGUAAGUCCGCUCUGAAAGUCAGGGGCUCAACCCCUGGAUGCGGGUGGAUACUGCUGGGCUAGAGUCCGGAAGAGGUGAGUGGAAUUCCUGGUGUAGCGGUGAAAUGCGCAGAUAUCAGGAGGAACACCGACGGCGAAGGCAGCUUACUGGGCCGAUACUGACGCUGAGGAGCGAAAGCGUGGGGAGCGAACAGG
rnacentral:rRNA from 1 species